GACGAACGCUGGCGGCGUGCUUAACACAUGCAAGUCGAACGGAAAGGCCCUGCUUUUGUGGGGUGCUCGAGUGGCGAACGGGUGAGUAACACGUGAGUAACCUGCCCUUGACUUUGGGAUAACUUCAGGAAACUGGGGCUAAUACCGGAUAGGAGCUCCUGCUGCAUGGUGGGGGUUGGAAAGUUUCGGCGGUUGGGGAUGGACUCGCGGCUUAUCAGCUUGUUGGUGGGGUAGUGGCUUACCAAGGCUUUGACGGGUAGCCGGCCUGGGAGGGUGACCGGCCACAUUGGGACUGAGAUACGGCCCAGACUCCUACGGGAGGCAGCAGUGGGGAAUAUUGCACAAUGGGCUGAAGCCUGAUGCAGCAACGCCGCGUGCGGGAUGACGGCCUUCGGGUUGGAAACCGCUUUCGCCUGUGACGAAGCGUGAGUGACGGUAAUGGGUAAAGAAGCACCGGCUAACUACGUG
rnacentral:rRNA from 1 species